rnacentral:lncRNA from 1 species
CAAGCUUACCAGAGGCUUUUUUCCAGGUCCUUCCCUGCCUUAACUAUUAUUGUCAUCUCCUUUCAUCUCUGCUUAUAUACCUAUUUGUACAGGAGCAGGGAAUCCCUUAGCACAUUGCCAGGCACCUGCCACUCCAAGACCUUCCCGCCCAGCUGGUGACAUCAGUUACUGAUGGAAUACUGAGACAUCACCUCCAUCUCAGUGGUUAUUUGGAAGCAGAGCUGAAUUCUGACAUGAGGUUAUGCUUAUACGUGGACAUGUAUCCUUUCCAUCCCUGAAUACAAAUUCCCUGAAGGCAGGAAAUUUUUAUUUUUGCUUUUCCAUCCCUCCCAUUUUGCAUAGUGCUUUGUAUAAAGCUUUAUAAAUAUUUGUUGUUGAAGUUGAAUGAUAUCACAGUAAGAGAGCUGCAGAGAAAUAAGAUCUAGGGGAGAAGUUAUAGGGAAUACUAAUUGGGAGAGGAAGAAGAGUAACUCUGGUUCUUCUAGUAGCAACAUAUGGCUGUCAGAGUUGGACUAUGAGGAGAGAGCUGAGUCCUGCAGAAAGACAGCUUUUGAACGAUAGUGCUGGAGAAGACUUUUGAGAGUCCCCCGGACAGCAAGGAGAUCGAAUCAGUCAAUGCUUAAAGAAAUGAAUUCAGAUUAUUCCUUAGAAAGUGAAAUACUAAAGCUGAAGCUGAAAUAUUUGUCAGGUCAUUGAGAAGGGAGGACUCUUAGACAAGACCUUGAGGCUGGGAAAGAUUGAAGGCAGAAGAAUAGGGCAGCAGAGGAAGAGAGAGAUGAGAGUGUCUUGGAAACAACAAAUGUGAGCUUAGACAGAUUUUGGGAGAUAGUAAAAGACAGAAGGGCCUGGGAUUAAAGUUAGAAGGUACUUUAGAAUUCAUUUUGUCCAAAGGCAGCUGGGUGGCUCAGUGGAUUGAGAGCCAGACCUAGAGACAGGAAGUCCUGGGUUCAAAUCUGGCCUCAAACAUUUCCUAACUGGAUGACCUUGGGCAAGUCACUUGACCCCCUAUGCCUAGUCCUUACUGCUCUUCUGCCUGGGAACCAAUACAGAAUAUUGAUUCUGAGACAAAAGAUGCAGAGUGAAAUAAGCAGAACUGGGAGAACACUGUAUACGGUAACAGCAAUAUUGGACCAUGAUUAUCUGUGAAAACUUGACUGCUCUCAGCAGUGCAACAAUCUGGGACAAUCCUGAAAGGCUCAUGAUGAAGAAUGUUCUCCACCUCCAGAGAAAGAACUGUUGGCGUCGUCUUUCACAUCAUUGUAUGACCCAUAUGGAAGUAUGUUUUGCAUGACAAUAAAAAUAAAAUAAAAUAAAAUUUCA